rfam:Providencia rettgeri Dmel1 chromosome, whole genome shotgun sequence.
AAUUUCAAGAACGCAGCCUGAUCUAAUUAGGCUGACGGCUGGUGAUUUUUUAAUCACCAGCCU